rnacentral:rRNA from 1 species
UACGGGGGGGGUAAGCGUUGUUCGGAAUUACUGGGCGUAAAGGGCUCGUAGGCGGCCAACUAAGUCAGACGUGAAAUCCCUCAGCUUAACUGGGGAACUGCGUCUGAUACUGGAUGGCUUGGAUUCGGGAGAGGGAUGCGGAAUUCCAGGUGUAGCGGUGAAAUGCGUAGAUAUCUGGAGGAACACCGGUGGCGAAGGCGGCAUCCUGGACCGACAUUGACGCUGAGGAGCGAAAGCCAGGGGAGCAAACGGGAUUAGAAACCCCCGUAGUCC